UACGUAGGGGGCAAGCGUUAUCCGGAAUCAUUGGGCGUAAAGAGCGUGUAGGCGGCUUGGUAAGUCCGCUGUGAAAGUCCAGGGCUCAACCCUGGAAAGCCAGUGGAAACUGCCAAGCUAGAGUCCGGAAGAGGCGAGUGGAACUCCUGGUGUAGCGGUGAAAUGCGCAGAUAUCAGGAAGAACACCAAUGGCGAAGGCAGCUCGCUGGGACGCGACUGACGCUGAGACGCGAAAGCGUGGGGAGCAAACAGG
rnacentral:rRNA from 1 species